rnacentral:rRNA from 1 species
GACGAACGCUGGCGGCGUGCCUAAUACAUGCAAGUAGAACGCUGAAGGAGGAGCUUGCUCUUCUGGAUGAGUUGCGAACGGGUGAGUAACGCGUAGGUAACCUGCCUGGUAGCGGGGGAUAACUAUUGGAAACGAUAGCUAAUACCGCAUAACAGUAGAUGUUGCAUGACAUUUGCUUAAAAGGUGCAAUUGCACCACUACCAGAUGGACCUGCGUUGUAUUAGCUAGUUGGUGGGGUAACGGCUCACCAAGGCGACGAUACAUAGCCGACCUGAGAGGGGGAUCGGCCACACUGGGACGGAGACACGGCCCAGACUCCUACGGGAGGCAGCAGUAGGGAAUCUUCGGCAAUGGACGGAAGUCUGACCGAGCAACGCCGCGGGAGUGAAGAAGGGUUUCGGAUCGUAAAGCUCUGUUGUAAGAGAAGAACGAGUGUGAGAGUGGAAAGUUCACACUGUGACGGUAUCUUACCAGAAAGGGACGGCUAACUACGUG